AACAAAGGUAAGUAGGGAGAGGGGGGGGAGUCCCUUUUAUAGGUCUAUAGCCCCUCCCACAACUUCAGGCCAUGCCUUCCAAUAUGUGGCAUUAUAAUGUGAUUUCAAUGAGUAAAACCAGUCAAUAUAUAAUUCCUAAAAUGAGCAAUGCCAUCUAGAUAAUAAACAUUGAAGUCCCUCCAGAAAUUAACAGCAGGCAGUUUACAAAUGGUACAAUGGUAUACAAAUGGUACAACUGUAUCUUUCACUGUUUCAAUCCUGGCCAUUAACAUUGACAGUUUCACCAUCCAGAGCAAAAAAAAAAACAACAGUUUACAAGCAGG